GGCUGUGGCCCAGGGCAGCACAUUUUUAGGGGCAUAAAAUAAGUCUAUGUCCCAAAAAAAUUAGCCCAUGUCUUUGUUAUAUGAUAGAAUAAUACGUGAGGAGGAGCAGGGAAAUGAAAACUUAGCGCCAAACAACCACUAAUCGUCUUCAAUUUCCCAUAGAAAAUCGAAACGUCUUCCGACACUUGGAAACAUGUUGUCGAUUGGAUGCCUAGAAGUUGCGUCUCUGAUAAAUAAAAGUAAGAUGUGGCAUCUGUAUUUUUCGCUUUCAGUCAAUUUCUCUGAUAUUUGGUUUCUAAAUACUCCAAUUUCUAUAGUUUUCAAGUUCUAGUUUGUGAUUUCUGAUAUUUCUAAUCUGGUUAAAAGAUCUCGGUUCAAGCCUUCUAGGUCCGAGAUAUUGUGAUUCUGAUACAACGAUUCUAAUUUGGGUGGGUUGAAUUUCUCUUAUUCCGACUUCUCAUUCUAAUUUCUGAUGUGAUUUAUGUUUAGGGUUUUUGUUAUUUGUUUCGGAAAUCAGAUUGUUUUUUGUGGUUGUUCAUGUUUUACUAGACUCGAUUUCUUCUCUCUUUGAGUUCGAAAUCUACUUAUUUAGGUUUGUUUCAAAAAUCUGCUUGAUUUCUUCUCUUUUUUAUUACAAAAAAAAUCAAAGUCUUUUAAAGACCUAUUUGGAUUUUGGUAUCUGAUUUCACCUCUGUUUGAGCUAUUAUUCCUCCUCUCUUUGGCUCGAAAUUUUUAGCUUUGUAUAUGAUUUUUGUGGUUUGCUUCAGUAAAGUGCAAUGCUAUUGCUAGCUAGUAAUUAAAAGUGCAUUGUUAUUGUUUGGUAAUACAGGAAAGUGCAAUGGUAUGGCUGGAUCAAUCUCGAAAGUACAUUGAUGUGGCUAGCUUAUUUUCAAAAGCUGAAUGUUGCUAUUUUCAUUAUUAAUUUAAUAAUUUUUGGUGAUGUAACUUGUAGUAGUUAUUACUUUAAUUUUACCCAUAUUAUUUUCCAGCCACAAUUGGCUUUUUUGUUAUUUAAUUUAGCUUUGUACUUUAAAAAAAUGUUCUCCUAAAAGCUGUUUUAUUUUUAUUAUUUAUUAUUUUGAUUAUUAUUUGCUUUUUAAGAGGAAUAGUUAGGGGUUGUUUGAUAUGCUCAUGGUAGAUUCUAAAUGGCCUUGAUAUCUCUCAAAUAUGAUAUGGGGUUUAUUUUUUUGCCCAAGCUGGUAUGUUUUUUGAUCGCUUCAAUGAAAGUUUGAAGUUAAGUAUGAUUUGGAUGUUUUUAUAGCCUUUGUUUAUGGUCUCGUAAGUGUUGCAGUAGCUUCAAAAUUCUGUUGUUGUUGCACAUUUGGUGCAAAGUACAUGUCUUUAGAUGUUAGCCCCAUAAAGUUCAUUGUCUUUUUCUAAACAAAUUUUGAUUGACCUCUACUACGAGUUUUUUAGUUUUAGUUGCUUUUUUGUUGUCUAUUUUAACGAUUGCGUGUACAUAUUGUUUUUGGUUGUAUUUUUACAAAUAUUUGAAUACAAAUAUAUAUUGAACUUCUGUUUUAUACAUGUUAGCUAUGUAUGUAUUUGGUGUAUUGUAUGGUACAAGCAUGGGGGCAUUAUGAUUUUCAUCUCGCCCGGGGCAUAGAAAACCAAUGGACCGGCCCUGGUGAAUGCAAUACAGAGCAUGAUUGUUGACGGCGCCUUCUUCCCCAAAUCCUUAUAGGGCAUUUGAUUCGUCAUAUUACCCUCGAUCUUCUGCUCUCAAUUCUCAAGUAACUCUCUCUCACUCUCUCACGUCGUCUGACCACUACCAUCAGAACUAACAAAUGGUAGCGUUAUACCGCACCACCAUAAGGUAAAAUUCGUCUGCUUUUGUGUGUGAUCCGAAAGUAGGAACUAAUCGAGUUAAUUUCAUAACUACACUCCUUGAUACCUCAUUUGAAGCAUUUCAAAAUGUGUAAUAUAAAUCGUCAUAAAUUGGUUGUGAAGAAUAUCCAUUUAUGUGUUCUUUGAUACAAAGAUGGUUGAUUUGACCUUGUAUUAUGAUUAUUUCAUGGUUAGAUUAGCUACAGGAACAAGAAAAUUCCAACAAUUGAUUCUUUCUCCCAUGGUAAUAUGUGGUAUUGCAAGUUAGUUGUUAGGAAUGACUUAAUCUUUGUUGCUCAAUUGGAAACAUAAGAAUCCUUAGUAAUUUUGUUUAACUAUGAGUUUUUAGGGAAACUUAACUUUUUACUAAUUUUGAUUUUUCUAAAUUGAAGAAUACUCAUCAUCUGGGUCGACUACAUGUUGGUGGGGCUUGGGCAAGGUAUCUCUAUCAAUUGAACUGAAAGAUAAACUAUAACCAAAACCAAAAUGAAGUUGAAUUUAAGAAUUUGUUGGAUUUUGGGAGUUCUUUUUCAUGUAGGUAUUUGUAGAAAUUCAAAUUUGUGCAAUACAUUAAACGCAUUGUAGUUGUAAAGGCUAAUGAAAUUUCAAAAUCAUGAAGGAAAAUCGGAUGAAACACCUUCCUAACACAGAAUUCCCAGCUACAACUUUAAAAGAUGUGUCUAGCUGUGUUAAUUCGACUGAAAUUGUUGAGAAAUAUAUAUUGAUUGUUGCAGUUUUAAAUCUUUUCAUUUUACAAACCAAUGAAUCUUUGUUUUAUUUUUAUUGUAGAUGAACUUAGAUACUUCCUUUCAUGCAUUUUUGGAUCUGGUGGCUGAUAAGGUAUGUUUUUUUAUCUUCCAGUUUCAAGAAAUAGAUUAAUAAUUGAUCUUCUAUCUUUUAUAUAUAGUACAAAUUGUUUAAUUAUUCAUGCUUGCAGCUUAUGGUUGCUAUUGUUAUGUAUAAGACCUCCAGAGGCUGCUAUUUUUGGGCACUACCAUGGCUUUUCACUGUACUAUCAAUUAAAAUUAUUGGUAGAGAGGUAAAAUGACCAUUCAUGCUUUGAAAGUGUUUGAAAUUGAAAAAAAUGUUCCAAAAAAUACAAUCAGCAAAUAACAUACUUAAUGUGUACAAGAAAUUGAAAAAAAAAACUUUGUUUUGUUUUUUUUUCCCAUCGAUGAUGCUUUCAAAACUCUAUCAAACUUUAUUAGGUUGUGCUUAUGAAGAGAUAUCACUAGUAAAUGCCUUUCUUACACAUCUCACUAAGGAAAAAAAUAUGUUGUUAAGUUGUUUUUUGAUUUUCAUAAAAUAUAAAGUUUUUGAUAGUUAAUAGCAAUGUAUAUGGGAAUCAAAUAAUAAAGUAAAGAACGCAAUUUACCGAAUUACCCCUGAUUUAUAUGUAAAAGAAUUUGAUCAUAAGCAUAUUGAUUUGUAUAUAUUUGAUAUGUAUGUGCUAAUAUUUGUAAUAGAAAUAUAUUAUUAACUUAAUAUUAAUAGGUAAAAACUAUAAUAAUAUAUAUUAACAAAGAGAAAGGGGUUUCAUUUCAUAAGCAGUGAAACAUGGUCUAUACUAAUAUUUUUAUUCCAAUGAAAUCAACUACUUUAUUCCUUAACUAAUUUUAUUAUAACCAAUACUUUAAGGGAUGUUUAAAUCUUAAUAAAUUCAACUUUAUUUGGUAUGUACCUUUGUCAAAUAAUUUGGAAUUUAAAUAGUAAGAAGUAUUGGUUUCUAUUCUUUUAAAUGAGUUUUGCAAUAUUGCAUUGAAAGACAGAGAUAUCUUAGAAGGAUAAAAGUAUCAAAAUCUGGUGAUUUAUUGGUUUUGGCGGCAUAGCAAGGCUAUUAUCACUGUUGAAGAGGUUUGGAUUUCUUCCUUUCUUACACCUGCAAUAUUUUUUUUAUUCUUUUCUAGCUUUUUUUUUAACAUUGUAGAUGUUUCGAUAGAUUAAAAUGGAAAUGGAAAAAGCUAAUGUAUUCUUUUAUGCAGAUUAUAAGAAAACUCUUGACUUUUCACUAGCCGAUGGACAAACAUAAAAUAAUUGUUGGGACAGGAUGGAUAUGCUUUUAAUGUUAUGUGUUAUGUUCUUAUCUAAAACGCAUUUUACUUUCUUCGAUCAUGUUCCAUUUUUUUAUAAUAAAAUUAUGUUGUAUGCUUUUGCUAUAUAAUUCACAUCUAACCUAUGCAAAGUAUGGGUACCUACACUAGUUAAAAUAAAAAAUGAAACUAAAACAUGAUACAAAAACAAGACUAACAAGGAUUUUUUUUUUCUUAAUGUUCACCUUCAACAUUAAAAUCAUUUGAAGCUUCUCUCUUAAAAGGUGGUUGGUGCUUUGUAUAAAAACUUCCAUUGAUAUAUUUUUUUCAUUCAUCCACCUUUGGCUUUUCCUAGGGUGCCUUUUGCUUAUCUUCCCAUGUUUUUCUUGUUUUUUUUAGGUAAUUUGUCUUUCUCAAAUGCGAAUGGUUCACUUUAAUUAAAGUUGUAUUGCUUAUUGAUGCCAUNAUCGGGAAUCGUACUUCUCGGGAUCUUCGGGGCCUCGGGACUUGCUUUGGGGCUCGNNNNNNNNNNNNNNNNNNNNNNNNNNNNNNNNNNNNNNNNNNNNNNNNNNNNNNNNNNNNNNNNNNNNNNNNNNNNNNNNNNNNNNNNNNNNNNNNNNNNAUAUUUGAAUACAAAUAUAUAUUGAACUUCUGUUUUAUACAUGUUAGCUAUGUAUGUAUUUGGUGUAUUGUAUGGUACAAGCAUGGGGGCAUUAUGAUUUUCAUCUCGCCCGGGGCAUAGAAAACCAAUGGACCGGCCCUGGUGAAUGCAAUACAGAGCAUGAUUGUUGACGGCGCCUUCUUCCCCAAAUCCUUAUAGGGCAUUUGAUUCGUCAUAUUACCCUCGAUCUUCUGCUCUCAAUUCUCAAGUAACUCUCUCUCACUCUCUCACGUCGUCUGACCACUACCAUCAGAACUAACAAAUGGUAGCGUUAUACCGCACCACCAUAAGGUAAAAUUCGUCUGCUUUUGUGUGUGAUCCGAAAGUAGGAACUAAUCGAGUUAAUUUCAUAACUAC
rnacentral:lncRNA from 1 species